rnacentral:rRNA from 1 species
AUUGAACGCUGGCGGCAGGCCUAACACAUGCAAGUCGAGCGAGCGGCGGACGGGUGAGUAAUGUAUGGGGACUGCCCGCUAGAGGGGGAUAACUACUGGAAACGGUUGCUACUACCGCAUACUGUCGGCUACCCCAUUGGGGAUUCGCUAUUCGGUAAGGUACUGGCUUACCUAGGCGACGAUCCCUCGCUGGUCUGAGAGGAUGAUCAGCCACACGGGGACUGAGAAACGGCCCAGACUCCUACGGAGGCAGCAGUGGGGCAUAUUGCACAAUGGGCGCAAGCCUGAUGCAGCCAUGCCGCGUGUAUGAAGAAGGCCCUAGGGUUGUAAAGUACUUUCAGUCGGGAGGCGUUACCGACAGAAGAAGCACCGGCUAACUCCGUGCCAGCAGCCGCGGUAAUAC